ensembl:rRNA 5S_rRNA 5S ribosomal RNA
GCCUACGGCCAUACCACCCUGAAAGCGCCCGAUCUCGUCUGAUCUCGGAAGCUAAGCAGGGACGGCUUGGUUAGUACCUGGAUGGGAGACCGCCUGGGAAUACCAGGUGUUGUAGGCU